GGGGCUGUAGCGCAGCGGGAGCGCGCUUCCCUCGCACGGAAGAGGCCGGGGGUUCGAUUCCCCCCAGCUCCACCA
rnacentral:tRNA from 1 species